rnacentral:tRNA from 1 species
GCUUAUUUAGUUUAAAAAGAAUUUAUAACUUGUAAUUAUAGGGUUAAGUA